GAACUGUGAGGGUGAUCUGGCUGUGACAUCUGUCACCCCAUUGAUCACCAGGGUUGAUUCAGCUUAUCUGGCUGGCUAGGCGGGUGUCCCCUUCCUCCCUCACCGCUCCAUGUGCGUCCCUCCCGAAGCUGUGCGCUCGGUCAAAGAGGAUGACCAUCCCUGAUAGAGGAGGACCGGUCUUCGGUCAAGGGUAUAUGAGCAACUGUGCUCCCCCUGCUAGAACCUCCAAACAAGCUCUCAAGAAAAAAAAAAAAAAUGUGUUAAGCUGAUUUUACAAAAUAGUUACCUAUUCUUU
rnacentral:snRNA from 1 species